rnacentral:ncRNA from 1 species
GUAAAUUCUUUGAAGGGAAUAAGUUAUUUGUGUAAGACAGGAUAGAGAGCUAGCGGUUGGUGGAAGCUAGUUUGCAGCACAAAUAAUAUCAUCUCCGAGAAGCAGGCUGAAAGAAGUAAGCUGUGCCGGUUUUCUACCGUUAACAAGAAAGUGUAUGAUAGUACACGCUGAGUGCUAGGAUAACUAGAAUAAGGAUGGUACCGCGAUUGUAAGUCGUUCCUUGA